rnacentral:rRNA from 1 species
UACGUAGGGGCAAGCGUUGUCCGGAUUUAUUGGGCGUAAAGAGCGUGUAGGCGGUCUGGUAGGUCCGUUGUGAAACUCGAGGCUCAACCUCGAGACGCCGAUGGAAACCAUCAGACUAGAGUCCGGAAGAGGAGAGUGGAAUUCCUGGGUGUAGCGGUGAAAUGCGGCAGAUAAUCAGGAGGAACACCAAUGGGCGAAGGCAGCUCGCUGGAACGGUACUGACGCUGAGCGCGAAAGCGUGGGAGCGAACAGG